rnacentral:rRNA from 1 species
AACGUAGGUGGCGAGCGUUAUCCGGAUUUACUGGGCGUAAAGCGUGUGCGGGCGGGGCUACAAGUGGUGUAUGAAAUCGCUCGGCUAAACCGGGCGGGGUUAUGCCAGACUGUAGCUCUAGAGUGCGAGAGAGGGGCGUGGAAUUCCGGGUGUAGUGGUGAAAUGCGUAGAGAUCCGGAGGAACCCCAGAGGCGAAGGCGGCGCCCUGGCUCGCAACUGACGCUCAGACACGACAGCAUGGGGAGCGAACGGG